GGUUGUGGCUCAGUGGUAGAGCACUCACCUAGCAUGUGCAAGGCUCUGGGUUCAAUCCUUAGCACCA
rnacentral:tRNA from 1 species